GAUGAACGCUAGCGGCAGGCCUAAUACAUGCAAGUCGAACGAAGCAGCAAUGCUUAGUGGCGCACGGGUGCGUAACACGUAUGUAACCUACCUUUUACUGGGGGAUAACUUCUCGAAAGAGAAGCUAAUACCGCAUAAUACAUUAAAGUCACCUGAUUUAAAUGUUAAAGAUUUAUUGGUAAAAGAUGGGCAUGCGUCCAAUUAGCUAGUUGGUAGUGUAACGGACCACCAAGGCUACGAUUGGUAGGGGUCUGAGAGGAUGGUCCCCACACUGGUACUGAGAUACGGACCAGACUCCUACGGAGGCAGCAGUAGGGAAUAUUGGGCAAUGGACGAAAGUCUGACCCAGCCAUGCCGCGUGCAGGAUGAAGGCCCUCUGGGUUGUAAACUGCUUUUGACAGGGAAUAAUACACCAUGCGUGGUGGGCUGACGGUACCUGUAGAAUUAAGCACCGGCUAACUCCGUGCCAGCAGCC
rnacentral:rRNA from 1 species